UGACAUUCCAUUGCCUGCCAAUCCGAGUGCAGCAGCGCACGGAUCUGGUCUGCAUUGGAAAUAUACUUGUCACUCGGAAAGGCAGCUCUAGGACACCAGCCUUGGCAGGAUUUCUUUUUUUGUACCAGGUAUCGAACUCAGGACCUUGGACCUGCCAGGCAGGUGCGGCGCCACUGAGCUACAUCCCAGCCCAAGAGAGUAGAAUUUUAAAUGUUCUCAUUUUCCCCCAAAUCAUAAAUAUGUGAGGUUAUAGAUAUGUUAAUUAGCUUGAUUUGAUCAUUCCACAAUGUGUGCAUAUAUCAAAACAUGACAUGGUACUCCAUAACUACAUAUAAUUAUUGUUUGUCAGUUAAAAUUAAAAUGAAAACCAAACAGCCUUCUAGGGUACAAACUGGAAGCUUACAGCGCUUCCCGUUUCCCUUGCUUUUUCCUUUAAAUAUACGCAUGGGCACUCACUGUGCGUCAGGCCC
rnacentral:lncRNA from 1 species